rnacentral:lncRNA from 1 species
CGGCGGCCGGCUUCUCCGCCGGCGAAAUCCUCAUAGCGCCGGUGAACGGCCGAUCGAAAAGUCGCUUCAGACGAGAUUUAGACGCCGGCGGCUUAGUCACUUCGGCUGCUCUGAUCGAAUCGAUCGGCUGGAUUCUCAUCGGAAAAGGCAUCUUCAAUUAACUCUUACUGUAGGACUUAAUUAUACUCUGUUUCUGUCAGUUGAAUUUGAAUUCUCAGAGCUCUACGAAAAAACACUGCUCUUCUCGGAAAAUUUUACAAAAAAAACCUCCUUCAAAACUCUAAAUUCUAGUGAGAGAAAAAGGAAGUAAGCCAAAAAUUUAAUACAAUUAAUUCUUCAACGCACUAAUUCAAUCCGAUCCCCAUCAUUUCCACACAAUCGGAACAAAAUUUCACACAAAUAUUUACUCAAAAAGAAAAUCAGAAAACUAAUAAAAAAAAAAAAUCUCAGUAUUCGGUUAUGGCUUUUUCGUGAAAAACGUGACGGUGGUGAAAGGAGACACGAACAAUGUAUUUGUAAGGGAAUGAAUCGGAAACAGAUGCCGGAAUAUUUAUUUUCCGGCGGAGCCCCAUCGCCGGAGGCCGGAAUUAUAUUCGAUUGUUUUCUUUGUUGUGUUAAAAGUAUUUCUUUCUCUCUCUUCUUUCUCUCUCUAUAUCUG